GACGGGGGGGGCAAGUGUUCUUCGGAAUUACUGGGCGUAAAGCGCACGUAGGCGGCUUUGUAAGUUAGAGGUGAAAGCCCGGGGCUCAACUCCGGAAUUGCCUUUAAGACUGCAUCGCUAGAAUUGUGGAGAGGUAAGUGGAAUUCCGAGUGUAGAGGUGAAAUUCGUAGAUAUUCGGAAGAACACCAGUGGCGAAGGCGACUUACUGGACACAUAUUGACGCUGAGGUGCGAAAGCGUGGGGAGCAAACAGG
rnacentral:rRNA from 1 species